UACGAAGGGGGCUAGCGUUGCUCGGAAUUACUGGGCGUAAAGGGCGCGUAGGCGGACAGUUAAGUUGGGGGUGAAAGCCCGGGGCUCAACCUCGGAAUUGCCUUCAAUACUGGCUGUCUUGAGUGUGAGAGAGGUGUGUGGAACUCCGAGUGUAGAGGUGAAAUUCGUAGAUAUUCGGAAGAACACCAGUGGCGAAGGCGACCCCCUGGCCCACUACUGACGCUGAGGCGCGAAAGCGUGGGGAGCAAACAGG
rnacentral:rRNA from 1 species